AAAAAAAAAGACAAAAAAAAAGAAAUUUACCCCAUGAAUUUGUAGGGGAGGCAAAACUUGACCUCUCCUCUCUUAGGGUCUUAAAUUAACAUAAAAAGGAUUAAUAGGAGAAAAACAGAGAUUUUUAAAUGUACAUGGGAGCCCCUAUAGGAAAAUAAAAACCCAAGAAGCAGAUGGGCCCAAGUAUUUAUAGUAUAGGCUGAACAAAAAGCAGUCGUUGUGAAAAAGUAAGUUAAAUGCAGGAGGAAACUUAAGGAAGAGAGGGGUUAUUUUAACAAAGUUUGUAUGUGAAGAUUUCUCUGGGCUGGAUUCCCCAUCUCUGGUCAUAAAAAUGUAUUUUUCCUCCUGGUACAGAGAAGGCAGCUUUUUCAUGGGAGUUUUAUCUCCUGCUUUCAGGAACAAAAUGAGGUCAGUGUCCUUCUCCUUGCUAUUUUUCAAGUAACUAAUCCUUCUGGCAAAGUGGCAUCCUUGUGGGUGGCAUAUUUUGCCCCCCUUCAGAUAGAAGCUUCAGGGCAUGUUGGUUAAUUUUAGUGACAAUAAGUAUGUGUUCAGUUACCGUGACAUUCAGCAAAACUCAGUGGCAUAAGAUGACAGCCAACUAUGCAUGUGCAUUCUUAGUUGGAGCCAAUUCGAGUACUCUUUUAACACAAGGUAGGUUCUCUGAAUUUCUCCGCUCACACUUUGAGAAUGCCACAUUUUCAAAAAUUUGGGGAGUUCCUGGUGACCUAGCAGUUAAGCAUCUGGUAUCGUCACUGCUAUGGCUUGAGUCACUACUGUGGUGUGGGUUCGAUCCCUGGCCUGGGAACUUCCACAUGCCGUGCACAUGGCCAAAAACAUAAAAUAAAAUUCAACAGGCACAUUGUCCACAGAAGGGUAGUAAUGAGACUGAAAGUAUUCUUUGGUUACAAAAUCUAUAUUGCAUGUAUCCUGUGUAACAGACACUAAGCUAAGUGCAGAAGACAGGGAUACUGCCCUCUAGGAGCUUUCCAUGUGUUGCGUGAGAGAGGCAGAUGAUCCAAGGAGAGAGACCUUCUGUAACUGAAGCACCAGGCAAAUCCUGCUCUAAAUCCUCAUUCUUUUUUAAUUUUUAUAACACCACCACCUUUAUUUUUCACAGCAUCUAGCGUGUAUGUACUGGAUGAUACAUGUCCAAUCAUAACUACUUAUUAUUAUUUAGAUUAUCAGGAGAGGGAGACAAAAAAGCAGUGCCCCUGAAAAACUCAAAAGAAAUAUAGGUUGUCCUCUAAGAGUUUGACUGCAGCUUCACAACGAACUGGGUCAGAGCAGAGAUUCUCAGGUGGACUUAAAGAUGGCUAUUUUGCCAGCCAGAACACUUAUUCCGUGGAAGGCAUGUGCAUUCAUUAAGGAAGAAAGUAUAAUAUCAUGAUAUAAUAAUGCAUAUAAUAUAGUAAUAAUAUAAUGACCCUUGUUUACUUGUGAGCAUUUAUGAGCCUAUCCAAAAGGUAUUAACAUAAGAAAAGAGGCAGUAUCCUGGUGAAAAAGGGAUUACUACAACCAGCCAGGAUCCAAGUCUCCCCUUCUUGAGUGACUUUAAUUUACUAAACCAUGUUAUUAACUUCAAGUAGGAAUAAAAGUACCCACAGUGCUAUAUUUUGAGCAUUAAAAAAAUAACCUCUGUAAAUCACUUAGCACAAUGCCCUGCCUAUGGGAGCCAUAUGGUAAAUUCUUGGUAGCUCCUUAUGAUUGUUAGAAAAAGAGGCAAUGAGCCUGUCUACACACAGGGUGAAGUGGGAGGAAGUUUGACAGCAGAUGCCAAAGGGGCGUCCUACUGACAUGGUUUCCUGCGUGGGGAACAUGGAGGCUUCCCUGACUGACACGUUUCAACAUCAAAUCUACAACUAAGGACCCUGUGUCAGAUUUCAUGCCCACUGAGCAAAUGCACCGCAGGAUGUUAUCAUCGCUGAAAUGAACGAAUUGAUGUUUUGCUUUUCUGUGUCAGUUGUUGCUCUUCUUCAGUCUGAAUAACCAGCCUCUGUCAGUUUGGGGAGAGGGAGGGGAUCAAGAUGGGGUUGGUGGGGGCAAGCCUCGAUUUACGGAACGGGGACAGAGACUAUCUUUGUGAAGUGAGGAACAGGGAGGUUGGUCGCUGAGAGGCUCAAAAACGUCAGCCGGACUAAACAGGUAACUGCAGAAGAGGUUCCCAGAACGCUGCUGUUUCCCCCAACCCAGGAGACAUUUCACUGUAACCACCUAGAUUAUUGGCCACAAAUCCUGUUAAAAAUUGUUUUGAAAAAUGCAGUGGCAGAAGAUUUCAUUCGUCUGUACCCUUGACUGCAUCCAAGGAAGCUUAAAUUGGCUCACAUGCAGAGUGACCACCUGCAGGGCAUCAACCGCAGGUACCAGCUCUGGCUGUCUUUCCUAAGGAAGAGGGAACUAAGGGUUCGGAAGGAGGUUCAGUUCAUCGGUUCACCAUUGCCCUGCGGAUGGCAGGCUCUUCCUGCAUCCUCGUCUGUCACCCCUAACGGUGUGUCCUGCUUCUUUGCCAGCAGAGCCCCCAGGCGCGGACCCGGAUACGCUACGGGCCGGCGUGAGCGGCUUCACUGGCUGCCUCUCUGCUGUGCGCUUUGGCCCCGCUGCCCCGCUGAAGGCGGCGCUGCUCCCGGGCGGCCCUGUUCCGGUCACCAUCCGAGGACACUUGGCCGUCGCGUCCCGCUGCGCGGAGGGGACAGGGCCGGGAGCCCCAGCGCGGGAAGCCACCCGCCCGCUCGCAGGCGGUGCAGGUCGUUCUGGACCGACAGAUGAGGGAGAACCCUUAGUUAAUGUGGACAGAAGUGACUCCGCGGUCAUCGGAGGUGUGAUAGCAGUUGUGAUAUUUAUCUUGCUCUGCAUUACUGCUAUUGCUAUACGUGUUUAUCAACAGAGAUGGCUGUACCAAAAAAAUGAGUCAAAUAUUCCCCAAACUGGAGACAACGCUGAGACUGCUCUGAAAAGUGAGCUCAACAUGCAAAGUACAGUGAAUGAAAGCCAGAAAGAAUAUUUCUUCUGAUCAGCAGUGGUGGCUUACUUAUUACUAUGAUGAUGAUGUGACUUUCUUGCUAAGCCAGGGGCUCCCAGUGGGUGAAACUCCCUUCUCCUCCUCCUGGGAGAGACGGUUGGUGUGCAGCCCUGUGAGCUUGCUCAGCAUGGUUGCUGGAGGCUCUGCUCAGUGCUCCUUCUUGAUCUAUUUAUGUAACAGUGACUUAGGUGUGCUCAUUAAUCACAGUCUGGCAGUUUCUGACUGUUCUGACCUGAUCUUCUGAAAUUGAAAUGUAUUUUGCAUAAUUACUUUGGGAUUUAAGUGAGAACAAGGAUCUGAGCUACGGCCCUACUCUCUUAAAAAUUCAACGUGAAAGUUUAUAAAAGUCAAAGUUGGAUGCUAAUGUUUUAUGUUACAUGGGAACCUCCGUUAUGCUUCCUUUAUCAAUCUACCACUGGCAUUUAUAAACCAGGACGUGCUUCUCAGAUGACCUUCAGCCACAUUUCCAUAUUCCUGUGAACCAGCACUCAGUGGCCAAACAUGCAUUAGAAACCUAAAAAAAAACCCAAUUUUUUGCCUGAUUGUUUUUUACUAUUUGUCUCUUUUAAAUCAGUUUUGAUAUUUUUUAGUGAGGAAAUGAGCGUGGAAUGUCAGCUAUGAAAUUCUAGUAUGAAGUUCAGUCACAGAAAAGAAAAUUCAUAGGUGAAAAAAUGUGAAAAGGAUUUCCAUCUGGAAUAAUUUGCAUAUUUGUCUUUGUCAUUUGUCAUUAUACUCUUUGUAAAUUGUAUGACUGAUCUCACAAAAACGUCUAUUUUCUAACUGCCCAUGUAUAAACUCCGAAUUUAACAUUUAAAAUGUAUCCUCCAUCCAUAUCUGAAUGAAAUAUAAUCCUAAAUUUAUUUCCUGUAUAUACGGGGGAUUAGGUUGCUUUUCUUUGUAGGUUCUGUGGGUUUUUUUAUCUGACUGUUAAAACAACAAACCUUUGAUUUCCUGUGACUGUUCAUUUAUUAGGGAAGAAGUCCCAUUUUGAACUAAAUCUCUCCAUUUUCAUUUCUAAAUGUUGAGCUCAUCUAGGUGAAACUUCUCUGAGGUACCCUCUCGCCUAGGUACUAUUUGGACUAUCAGCAGAGGGAUGCUUAUGCUAAGGGAAGAUACAGGUUAUGUGAUCUGAACUAAAUCUGUCAUUCCAGCCACAAUUUUAGGAUCUUGAGAUCAGUUUCUCAUAGAGAGCACCCAAGAUUAACUAGUCCAUUUUAAGUAGGGUAUAUUUGAAUAUUAGGAGAACAAAAAAAAUCAUAUUAAUCAUGGAAUUGAUUCAAGAACUUUUUGUGGCAGUGAUCGUUAGGUGAUUGCACAGAGUCACCACUUGCUCUGAAAAGCCAAUUCCAAUAAACAUAUGCUGCCCUCUCCACAUCCCACCUUCCAUGUGUCUGCCAGGUACUUGCUUCCACCACAGUGAGACCACUUGGCAUUAUAUGCAUUUAGUCUGCCUCUUACCUUUGAGUGUAUACCUACUUUGCUAAGUUUUUUUUUUUUUUCCAAGAAUGGGGAAAGAUACCCUCUAUAAUACUUUUUGAAAAUUUUUUUUCGUAUGGUUUUGUAUUCAUUUUCUAGAAGGUGUUCCAAACGACCAGGAAUUAAGGGACUUAAUACAAUGCACAUUUUCUAUCUCACAGUUUCUGUGGGUCUGGAACUGGGCAUGGGUUCACUGAGACUUCUGCAAGAUUGCUAUCUGGUGUCUGCCAGGGCCGUGUUCUCAUCUGGAAACUCAGCUGGGGAGGGUUUGGCCUCCUUGCUCCCAUGAUUAUUGAUAGCCUUCCUUUCCUUAGUGCUGGAGGAUUUAUGGAAGCUUGCUUCUCAAGGCUAGCAGAGGAGAGAGAGAAAUUCUAGAGCAAGUCUGCUGGCAAGAGGGAAUCUUAUAUAAUGUAAUGUGAUCAUGGGCAAGACAUCCUGUCAUUAUUUGCUCUAAUCUUUUGGUUGGAAACAAUCACAGGUCCCACCUGUAUCCAAGGGGAGGGAUUAUAGAAGGACUUGAGCCAGCAGGCUGAGAUCAUAGAGGCCACUUUAAAGCCAUCUGCUAUCAUAAUGUAUCUAUACUGUUGUUUCUUUAAAUGAGUGAUGAUGAAAAAAAGUUUAGGAUCUCAAUAUAGCAAUAUAUGAAGGACCUACUCAGAUAAAUGACACAUGUAGUUUUUCCCAAAGGUCUGUGCAGUUUGGGGAAAGAUUCAACACAAAAGUUAUGGGCUCCAUUAUAUGCGUAACUGAGUGUAAACAUCAUUGAAUCACUGCACCUUUAAUAAGUGAUCAUCUUAUGUUCCAAAAGAAUGCAUCACUUUGGUAGCUAAGAUUUUACAGAUUUAUAGGUAGUGAUAGCCACUGCCCUCUGCUCUCUUUUCUAAAGGUAAAAUUAAGAAUAUUUUUACCAAGUCUCAGUGAUGCACCAUCCACUUUCCCUGACUGAUUUGUAAACUUUUCCUGCUGGUUUGUUAAUAAAAUAACUCUUUGGAAUGAAAUUAGGAAAAUAUUUUUAAGAGAAGUUGAAUGAAAUUUGAAUUAUGCAAUGAUAUUGGUUUUCCUGUAAAAUAUUAAAAAAUGUGCAAAUGUAUA
rnacentral:lncRNA from 1 species